ACGUAGGUGGCAAGCGUUGUCCGGAUUUAUUGGGCGUAAAGCGAGCGCAGGCGGUUUCUUAAGUCUGAUGUGAAAGCCUUCGGCUCAACCGAAGAAGUGCAUUGGAAACUGGGAAACUUGAGUGUAGAAGAGGACAGUGGAAAUCCAUGUGUAGCGGUGAAAUGCGUAGAUAUUAGGAGGAACACCAGUGGCGAAGGCUGCUUCCUGGACUAGAACUGACGCUGAGGCGCGAAAGCUAGGGUAGCAAACAG
rnacentral:rRNA from 1 species